rnacentral:rRNA from 1 species
GACGAACGCUGGCGGCGUGCUUAACACAUGCAAGUCGAACGGAAAGGCCCUGCUUUUGUGGGGUGCUCGAGUGGCGAACGGGUGAGUAACACGUGAGUAACCUGCCCUUGACUUUGGGAUAACUUCAGGAAAAUGGGGCUAAUACCGGAUAGGAGCUCCUGCUGCAUGGUGGGGGUUGGAAAGUUUCGGCGGUUGGGGAUGGACUCGCGGCUUAUCAGCUUGUUGGUGGGGUAGUGGCUUACCAAGGCUUUGACGGGUAGCCGGCCUGAGAGGGUGACCGGCCACAAGGGGACUGAGAGACGGCCCAGACUCCUACGUGAGGCAACAGUGGAGAAUAUGACACAAUGGGCGGAAGCCUGAUGCAGCGACGCCGCGAUCGGGAUGACGGCCUUCGGGUGAUAAACCGCUUUCGCCUGUGACGAAGCGGGAGUGACGGUAAUGAGUAAAGAAGCACCGGCUAACUACGUG